rnacentral:rRNA from 1 species
AUGAGUAAUAUCUUUUAUGGUCAUGCACCCUUGAAGAGUGGUCUAUUUUUAUUAAAUCUUGAUAGUAGUGAUACACAUAUUCAUAAUAUUGAAGCCAAAAGAUGCAGAGUUGAUAAUGAUAGUGCAACUUAUUUGUGGCACUGCCGUUUGGGUCAUAUUGGUGUAAAGCGCAUGAAGAAACUCCAUUCUGAUGGACUUUUGGAAUCACUUGAUUAUGAAUCACUUGGUACUUGCGAACCAUGCCUCAUGGGCAAGAUGACUAAAACUCUGUUCUCCGGAAUAAUGGAGCGAGCAACAGAUUUAUUGGAAAUCAUACAUACUGAUGUAUGUGGUCUGAUGAAUAUUGAAGCUCGCGGCGGGUAUCGUUAUUUUCUCACCUUCACAGAUGAUUGA